UACAGAGGGUGCGAGCGUUGUUCGGAAUUACUGGGCGUAAAGCGUGCGCAGGCGGUUAUGCAAGACAGAUGUGAAAUCCCCGGGCUCAACCUGGGAACUGCAUUUGUGACUGCAUGGCUAGAGUACGGUAGAGGGGGAUGGAAUUCCGCGUGUAGCAGUGAAAUGCGUAGAUAUGCGGAGGAACACCGGUGGCGAAGGCGGCUCACUGGCUCGUAACUGACGCUCAGGCGCGACAGCGUGGGGAUCAAACAGG
rnacentral:rRNA from 1 species